AUAUGAUUCUUUGUGAACUCAUAGCAUCGUUGUCACUGUCAUCACAAUCAUCACUGCCAUCACCAUUGUCACCAUCAUCAUUACAGUCACCACUGUUGUCAAGAUGGUCACUGCCAUCACCAUCAUCACCAGAAUCAUCACCAUCAUCACCGCUAUUACUUUCAACACUACCAUUGUCACCACCAUCAUCACCAUCAUCAUCUCAAUCGUGACCAUCAUCACCAUCAUCAUCAUAUACUCUUGUAUUCCCAGUAACACCAAUCUGAGCACCUCAAACCACCUUCCACUGAGACUGAAUGGAAGUUGCAGGAGAAUGAGAACAGAUUGCACCGAGAAGUCCUUUAACUCUCUUCAGGAAACACCUCUAGUUCAAGCAUUUUACAAAAAAUAACCUUUAAAAACUAACCAGGUUUCCGCUGCGUGGUUGAGCCAGCCAUGAGGGUUGUGCUGGUUACAUCUGAAUUAGCCCUGCUUGACAAUCGCUCUCAAACUCGGUUCCUACUUCACGCCAGCAGUUCUGCUCCCUGGGUGUGUGAUCGUAUGGGGCAGACGCCUUCGAAGGAGCUAUCAGACCCAGAUUAAGAACGCAUCGUAUACAAUAAGCAAAUGAGAAGGCACGACAUUUUCCCAAAAUCACCCAGGCAGGAAAAUCAGCACGUCCUGCUCUUCAAUAGAGGGCCCAUCUCGCUCCCUGCUUUACGGGGAGCAGAAAUGUCUGGAAUCUAAAUCUGCCACAGGAGGGGUUUCUUUGCCUUCUCUCGAUGCUGUGAGCUGAAUGGCAGAUUUCAUCACCUCCAUUGUAAGGCACCUCUCAUUAUGAGAAACCAAACACAGAUCCUGGCUCCUAACUGGAGUAUUAAUAAUGAAAAUGGAUUAUGUGCAUCCUGUUUGCUAAGCAAUUAUCCCAAGGCAAGGAUUGAGUCCAGAUUUUUUGCCUCACUGCCUGAGUAGCAGAACAUGAAUAGAUAGACAGGUAUUUGCAUGCAGUGUCUCUGACCUGGAGAAAAUGUCAGGAGCUUGGGAGACGACCGGGAGAGCUGUAGAUGCAUAUUCUUUUGAAAUCUGGUUGGGAUUUUCAGUCUAUUCUUGGAAAAGGCAAAGAAAGGGGGAAAGACUCUGGAUUUGCUGUCACUGUUUAAAGAUAGCCUCCUGAGUCGAGGCGAGAGCAUUUUACUUUGCCCACCGUAAGUUUUUCAUUAACUGCGAGUGACUCCGGCUCCUACCUUCUCAAGGAGAUGAAAUGAGUUUUAUGUGGUUGAUGGCGAGUGGUGCUUUCCCUAGAUCUUUUAUAAAAUCUAGAUCUGAUCUUCUUAACCUAGGCACUUUUUAAUAAGAGUAGGCAUUUCUCUGAUGCCUUGGAUCUAAAUUUUCCUCUUCCCUUCAUUCGCUUGCUGGGCUCCUGCAAGGUGCCAGCUGACUUCCUCUCUCUGAUGCCCAUGUGCUAUUUUGGGGCUGUGCAUCUAGGCUAAAAUGAAUCUGUGCUCAGUGUAUGCAGUGCUUUGGGAUCCUUCAGAGAAACCACUGCCAACAGCUGUGUCGCCUCCCGUCUCUCCCUGCCCACCCUCCUGCUCCUUUAUGGUAUACUCACACAUCAAGAUGGCAGAUUGAGAGGCAGCAGUGAACAUUCCUAUGGACAAGCUUCAUUAUUCCCACAGGACCAGAGAGUCAUCUUAGAAGAUAGAGGGGAAUAUCAGGGGCAGGACAUCCCUGUGGCAGUCACUCAACCCCUAACAAUGACUUCACAAUAGAUUAAAAUUGCCUGGAAAAUGGAUAGACAUCUGUGGCACAUCCACACAGCGGAAUGCUACUCAGCAAUCAAGAUGAAUAAGGUGCUGAGGCACACAACUCCAGGAGUGAAUCUCUGACUCAUUAUUCAAAGUGAGGGCGGUCAGACAUAAAAAGCAAUGGUUUCUUGGAGUUGGGCAGAGAGAGAGGUUCACUGAAAAGUGUGACCAACAGUCCUGGUUUGCUUGAGACUGUCCCAGUGUUAGCUUAUAAUGUCUCCCUUUCUGGAAACACCUCAGUCCCAGGCAAACUGAGACAGCUGGUCCCCCUGGAACUGGACAGAGGGAUUUUUAGGAGGAUGGGACUGUGCUUUGCAAAUAUCCCAGAGCUAUACACUUAAAAGGUAAAUUUUACUCUCUGCAAAUCAUACCUCAGAAAAGACUGGAAAGGAUUGCCUAGUGUCUCAUCAGUCCUUCCAUUAGACAGUGCGUUCUCUGCAUGCAGGGAUUCCGUGUCCCGUAUCAUUGACCCCUAGCACUGACAUGGCAUGGCAUGGAAUAACUUGCUGAAAGAUUGCACCGUACUCCUGUUUCUCAGCUGCUACCUGUUGUGCUACCACCAAUAGAUUGUUUAAACUAUCCAGUGGUCUCGUAGCAUGGAAUUUUCUCCACAGAACUACAAAAAAUUAAGGUUUUAUCUCUUUCUUUUAGAUUGUGUUUUGAUAGCUAUGGUCUUGAAAUGAGACAACAAUAAUAAUCAGUGCUUUCCAAGUAUCCUGAGCAUAAUGAAUUCCUAGAAUACUUGUUAAAAGAAAAAUACAAGUUCCUGGAACCCUAUCUAGACCUGUCAGAUCUGAAUUUCCAGGGGAAGGGCCUGGGAAUCUGUAUAUUUAACAGGUGUCUCCAAAGAUCCUUGAGAUCUAUCAUGGAAAGCAGGAAGACAGAAAACCUGGGCUCAGAAAACCUCAGCACUAGCCUUCAGGUGUGGUCCUAUCCUGGCCGCCAUGUUGCCCAUGUGAUGCUUCUGCUAGAGUCUUUCUCCUGGUGCAUCAUUUGUUCAUUAAUUUUACUUGGGAAAUAUUUAUUGAGCACCUACUCUGCACUAGGGCUACAGCUGUGAAAGAGCAAACAAAUAAAUACACAAGAUAAGCUCA
ensembl:lncRNA